rnacentral:RNase_P_RNA from 1 species
GAAGCCUGCCAGACCGCCGCUGGCGCAAGGCCCGAAAGGGCGCGCUGGAGGAACGUCCGGACUGCACAGGGCAGCGCAGCAGCUAACGGCUGUCCACCGUGAGGUGAGGAUCAGAGCAACAGAGACGAGUCGCGCGGGGCAACCCGUGCGGGUGAAACGGGCAAUCUCUGCGCGCAGCAACACCAAGUAGGCACACGAUGAGGCGGCCCGCCGAGUGUGCGGGUAGGUGGCACCGAGCCGUCCGGGCGACCGGCGGCCCAGAUUGAUGGCGGUCACGCACCGGGCGACCGGCGCGCACAGAAUCCGGCGUAUCGGUGGGCUUCACAC